CUGAAGAGUUUGAUCAUGGCUCAGAUUGAACGCUGGCGGCAGGCUUAACACAUGCAAGUCGAGCGGAAACGAUGAUAGCUUGCUAUCAGGCGUCGAGCGGCGGACGGGUGAGUAACGCGUAGGAAUCUACCUGGUAGUGGGGGACAACUUGGGGAAACUCAAGCUAAUACCGCAUACGCCCUGAGGGGGAAAGCGGGGGAUCUUCGGACCUCGCGCUAUCAGAUGAGCCUGCGUCGGAUUAGCUAGUUGGUGGGGUAAAGGCCUACCAAGGCGACGAUCCGUAGCUGGUCUGAGAGGACGAUCAGCCACACUGGAACUGAGACACGGUCC
rnacentral:rRNA from 12 species